rnacentral:rRNA from 1 species
UAAUACAGAGGGUGCGAGCGUUAAUCGGAUUUACUGGGCGUAAAGCGUGCGUAGGCGGCUUAUUAAGUCGGAUGUGAAAUCCCCGAGCUUAACUUGGGAAUUGCAUUCGAUACUGGUGAGCUAGAGUAUGGGAGAGGAUGGUAGAAUUCCAGGUGUAGCGGUGAAAUGCGUAGAGAUCUGGAGGAAUACCGAUGGCGAAGGCAGCCAUCUGGCCUAAUACUGACGCUGAGGUACGAAAGCAUGGGGAGCAAACAGGAUUAGAUACCCUGGUAGUCCAUGCCGUAAACGAUGUCUACUAGCCGUUGGGGCCUUUGAGGCUUUAGUGGCGCAGCUAACGCGAUAAGUAGACCGCCUGGGGAGUACGGUCGCAAGACUAAA